rnacentral:rRNA from 1 species
GACGAACGCUGGCGGCGUGCUUAACACAUGCAAGUCGAACGGACAGGCCCUGCUUUUGUGGGGUGCUCGAGUGGCGAACGGGUGAGUAACACGUGAGUAACCUGCCCUUGUCUUUGGGAUAAAUUCAGGAAACUGGGGCUCAUACCGGGUAGGAGCUCCUGCUGCAUGGUGGGGGAUGGAAAGUUUCGGCGGUUGGGGCUAGACUGGCGGCUUAUCAGCUUGUUGGUGUGGUAGUGGCUUACAAGGGCUUUGACGGGUAGCCGGCCUGAGAGCGUGACCGGCGACAUUGGGACUAAGAUACGGCCCAGACUCCUACGGGAGGCAGCAGUGGAGAACAUUGCAGAAUGGGCGGAAGCCUGAUGCAGCAACGCCGCGUGCGGGAUGACGGCCUUCGAGUUGUAAACCACUGUCGCCUGUGACGAAGCGUGAGUGACGGUAAUGGGUAAAGAAGCACCGGCUAACUACGUG